rnacentral:rRNA from 1 species
UACGAAGGGGACUAGCGUUGUUCGGAAUUACUGGGCGUAAAGCGCACGUAGGCGGAUUUGUAAGUCAGGGGUGAAAUCCCGGGGCUCAACCUCGGAACUGCCUUUGAUACUGAGGACCUUGAGUUCGGGAGAGGUGAGUGGAACUGCGAGUGUAGAGGUGAAAUUCGUAGAUAUUCGCAAGAACACCAGUGGCGAAGGCGGCUCACUGGCCCGAUACUGACGCUGAGGUGCGAAAGCGUGGGGAGCAAACAGG